AAGACUGUGCUUUUUGUUCUACAAGAUGGUUAGAGUAAUUAAUUUCCUUUUCAGUUCCUGAGCUGCAGCUUGUUGUAUGUAUGGGUCAAUGUAAAGUUAAAACAUCUUGAGCACACAAAACUGAACUUAUAUUGUUGAAAGAAAGAAAGAAAGAAAGAAAGAAAGAAAGAAAGAAAGAAAGAAAGAAAGAAAGAAAGACCAACAUCUCAUUCCCUCUCCAGAAAAAGAAACAGAAAAUUUAGCAGUGGUAUUGUGCCUCAUCUCACUUUGUGCCUGGAGAGAGGCAGAGAAGCAAUGAAUUUCUUGCUGCUUCUGCCUCUCUCCAAAGCCAAGAAAAAAGCAAGAGGAAAAACUCUGACCAUCCCCCCUCAGACUUAUGGAGUACGCAGAGAACUAGUCAGAAGGAGUGGGCGUACCCAUCGCUAAUCCCAUGUGUGGCAGCUCUUGUGAGAGUUUGCGAGCUGCUGGCAGGGGAAGAGGAAAGCGGCAGCGCUGGACAGGC